AGAGUAUAAUGCAGCCAAGGAUGACUUGCCGGAACGUUGUUAAUCAUACGUAUAAAUUAUGUGAUGAACAUAUUUCUGGCAAGUUGUCCUUCGGCUACAUUUUGCUCUCU
rnacentral:pre_miRNA from 1 species